rnacentral:rRNA from 1 species
CGUACGAUACGAGUUUGAUCCUGUCUCAGGACGACGCUGGCGGCGUGCUUAACACAUGCAAGUCGAACGUGAAGCCUUUCUUCGGAGAGGUGGAAAGUGGCGAACGGGUGAGUAACGCGUAGACAACCUGCCCUUCGAUGGGGGAUAGCCCCGGGAAACUGGGAUUAAUACCGCAUGACGCACCGGGACCGCAUGGUCCUGGUGUUAAAGAUUUAUCGUCGGGGGAUGGGUCUGCGUGACAUUAGGUAGUUGGUGGGGUAACGGCCCACCAAGCCGACGAUGUCUAGCUGGUUUGAGAGGAUGAUCAGCCACACUGGGACUGAGAUACGGCCCAGACUCCUACGGGAGGCAGCAGUGAGGAAUAUUGGACAAUGGGGGAAACCCUGAUCCAGCAACGCCGCGUGAACGAUGACGCUGUUACGCAGUGUAAAGUUCUGUAAGGAGGGAAGAACCACCGGGUAUUGCCCGGUCUGACGGUACCUCCUAAGUAAGCACCGGCUAACUCCGUG